rnacentral:rRNA from 1 species
UAGUAUUAAUAGUUAUGAUCUUUAAAUUAAAAGAAUUUGGCGGUAAUCUAGUCUGUUCAGAGGAAUCUGCCCUGUAAUUGAUAUUCCACGAUGAAUUUUACUUUAUCUAUGCUUGUAUAUCUCUGUCAUUGAAUGUCCUAUUAGGGUAUUUUCUUUAAUCUUUAAUGUGUAAGAUGUCAGGUCAAGGUGCAGCGAUGGUAAAGAAGAGGUGGAUUACAUUAAAUUUAUUUAUGGAUAGUGAAUAUGGAAAUUUUCUUGAAAUUGGAUUUGAAAGUAAUUUCUAU